GCUGAUGUAGCUUAAUCAAAGCAUAACACUGAAGAUGUUAAGAUAAACCCUAAAAAGUUUCAUGAGCA
rnacentral:tRNA from 1 species